AGCAGCCGCGGUAAUUCCAGCUCCAAUAGCGUAUAUUAAAGUUGUUGCAGUUAAAAGCUCGUAGUUGAAUUUCGAGACCAAUAUGUCGGUCGUGCCUCGGUACGUACUGGCAUCGUUGGUUUCUCCUUUCUGAAGAACCAUGAUGUCAUUUAUUUGGUGUCGUGGGGAAUCAGGACUGUUACUUUGAAAAAUUAGAGUGUUUAAAGCAGGCUCACGCUUGAAUACAUUAGCAUGGAAUAAUGAAAUAGGGCGUUUGAUUCUAUUUUGUUGGUUUCUAGGAUCGACGUAAUGAUUAAUAGGGAUAGUUGGGGGCAUUAGUAUUCAAUUGUAUGAGGUGAAAUUCUUGGAUUUAUUGAAGACUAACUACUGCGAAAGCAUUUGCCAAGGAUGUUUUCAUUAAUCAAGAACGAAAGUUAGGGAUCGAAGACGAUCAGAUACCGUCGUAGUCUUAACCAUAAACUAUGCCGACUAGGGAUCGGAUGAUGUUAAUUUUUAAUGACUCAUUCGGCGUCCG
rnacentral:misc_RNA from 1 species